CCACAUCAUGAAAGCCGCUUGUACCCGAAGUCGCUGUGCCGACUCGCAAGAGAGGCAGGUGCCGAAGGUAUGGGUGGUGAUUGGGAUG
rnacentral:rRNA from 1 species